GCGCCAUUUAUCCGGACAGUUUUAGUGGUCGACAAUUUUAAAACUAAAAUUCCUUCGGAGCUGAUACAAAGUCGGUCCAGCCGGAUACUUCGAACGAGAGUAUUGCGACGGUCGGAUGAUGAUGGAGUCAAUUUUAUGCUCAGGCUUCCAACCAAACAUGCUUGGAAAAAACAGGGGAAAAUCUAUUUUAUUUAUUCCAGGAAGAGAUAAAGUGAACUAAAAAUUAAAAUGUAAGUAAAUUAGUUUUAAUAAAAGUAUCGAUUAAAA